CCUACGGGUGGCUGCAGUGGGGAAUCUUGCGCAAUGGGCGAAAGCCUGACGCAGCCAUGCCGCGUGGAUGAUGAAGGUCUUAGGAUUGUAAAAUCCUUUCACCGGUGAAGAUAAUGACUGUAGCCGGAGAAGAAGCCCCGGCUAACUUCGUGCCAGCAGCCGCGGUAAUACGAAGGGGGCUAGCGUUGCUCGGAAUUACUGGGCGUAAAGGGAGCGUAGGCGGACAUUUAAGUCAGGGGUGAAAUCCCGAGGCUCAACCUCGGAACUGCCUUUGA
rnacentral:rRNA from 1 species